UCCGAGGCCAACCCUUACAUUUUCAACGGGGACUUUGUGGAUCGCGGUUCCUUCUCGGUCGAGGUCAUCCUGACGCUCUUCGGUUUCAAGCUGCUCUACCCCGACCAUUUCCAUCUGCUCCGAGGGAACCACGAGACGGACAACAUGAACCAGAUCUACGGCUUCGAGGGCGAGGUCAAGGCCAAGUACACGGCGCAGAUGUUCGCCCUCUUCAGCGAGGUCUUCGA